UACGUAGGGACCAAGCGUUGUUCGGAUUUACUGGGCGUAAAGGGCGCGUAGGCGGCAUGACAAGUCACUUGUGAAAUCUCUGGGCUUAACUCAGAACGGCCAAGUGAUACUGUCGCGCUAGAGUGCAGAAAGGGCAAUCGGAAUUCUUGGUGUAGCGGUGAAAUGCGUAGAUAUUAGGAGGAACACCAGUGGCGAAGGCGGCUCACUGGACGAUAACUGACGUUGAGGCUCGAAAGCGUGGGGAGCAAACAGG
rnacentral:rRNA from 1 species